UUAAGAAUCUUGCGCAAUGGGCGAAAGCCUGACGCAGCGACGCCGCGUGAACGAUGAAGGCCUUCGGGUUGUAAAGUUCAGUAAGUAGGGACGAAUAAGCAGCGGGUAAUAUUCGUUGUGAUGACGGUACCUGCCUAAAGCCCCGGCUAACUACGUGCCAGCAGCCGCGGUAAUACGUAUGGGGCUAGCGUUGUUCGGAAUUAUUGGGCGUAAAGGGCGUGUAGGCGGGGGGUUAAGUUGGGUGUGAAAGCCAUGGGCUCAACUCAUGAAUUGCACCCAAUACUGGCCUUCUUGAGUUCGGGAGAGGAGAGCGGAGUUCCCGGUGUAGCGGUGAAAUGCGUAGAUAUCGGGAAGAACACCAGUGGCGAAGGCGGCUCUCUGGCCUAGAACUGACGCUGAGGCGCGAAAGCGUGGGGAGCGAACGG
rnacentral:rRNA from 1 species